rnacentral:rRNA from 1 species
UAGGGUUUGAUUAUGGCUCAGGAUGAACGCUGGCGGCGUGCUUAACACAUGCAAGUCGAACGAGCCUUCGGGUUAGUGGCGGACGGGUGAGUAACGCGUGGGAAUCUGCCCUCAGGAGGGGGAUAACGGCCGGAAACGGCCGCUAAUACCCCAUAUGCCGAGAGGUGAAAUGAAUUUCGCCUGAGGAUGAGCCCGCGUCUGAUUAGCUAGUUGGUGAGGUAAGAGCUCACCAAGGCAUCGAUCAGUAGCUGGUCUGAGAGGAUGAUCAGCCACACUGGGACUGAGACACGGCCCAGACUCCUACGGGAGGCAGCAGUGGGGAAUUUUCCGCAAUGGGCGAAAGCCUGACGGAGCAACGCCGCGUGAGGGAUGAAGGCCUCUGGGCUGUAAACCUCUUUUAUCAAGGAAGAAGAUCUGACGGUACUUGAUGAAUAAGCCACGGCUAAUUCCGUGCCAGCAGCCGCGGUAAUAC